AACACACAAUCCUCUGUCCUCAGUACUUGUCUGUCUACCCUCUCACAUACUGUCAAUACGCUCAUACCCACAACACACAUUCCAAUUGUUCUUGACCCGCCUUCUCCAGUCGAAUCACACAUCAUUGUUCUGAACCGGCUCCCAAGAAGGAACAAUUUCAACCGAAUCCCAACCACAUAAGUGGUUCCACCACUAUGUGAAAUUUGAAUUACGAGGUGAACAAUCGUGAAUAAUUGCGUAUUAACUUUGAAUUACUGUUUAUCAAUCCAUACUUAUCAUACCAAGUUUCAGUUCCCAGAAACCAGACAAGAAAAAGAGCAUUAUCGGAGGUACUGGAGCUUGAUUCUUCUGAAAGUUUUUGAAGCUUUGGGAACCUUCUUAGACUCGAAAAACUUCAAUCUCGCGAACGAACACUGGUUUCGUUCCACAUAUUGACAUAUCCAUUUCAGUACCUGCAACAAACAAGCUAAGGACUCGCUCAAAAUGCACAAGUAACAGAGAUAUCGUGGAGGGGACGAACUCUACCUUAUCGCUAUCACUACGGAUCACCAACGAUAUUGCGUUAUGCAAACCUCGGAACAAGUUAUCCAGAUAGUACUCCAUCCUUUCCUCGAUAUCCCUAAAGGAAACCAAAUAGUUCUCGAGCACCAGAAUAUCAGCCUGAACAAGGGAAGGACGGCUUAACUUGGAAAAACCUCGAAAUCUUUUACCAUUCGGCACAAGGAAGUUUAGAUCGAAGAACUUGAGUCUUGGUGCAACUGUUUCAGUAUCAUCUUCAACCCUAUCAAGCUUCAAAAUAAGCAAAUGUGGUCCAAUUAUCUUGGGAACUCAUUAGCAUUCUAGGCUAGUUCGAGUUCUAGAGCCAACACGAAUACUCACUCGAGUGUAUGACUCGUUAGUUGACUCAAUAAUACAACAUGUGUUUUACCUCGAAAACCACAUAGAAUAAAAGAUAUGUAAUUUGUGAUUGUGUUGGUGAAAAUGCUUUGACACAUUAUUUAGGUUUAACUACUUUGAUUGAGAAAAAUAGAAACUUGUAUAUUUUAGAUUAUCUUAUUUUUUAGUUUCAGUCGUCG
rnacentral:lncRNA from 1 species